AACGAACGCUGGCGGCAGGCCUAACACAUGCAAGUCGAACGAGAUCUUCGGAUCUAGUGGCGGACGGGUGAGUAACGCGUGGGAACGUGCCCUUCUCUACGGAAUAGUCCUGGGAAACUGGGUUUAAUACCGUAUACGCCCUUCGGGGGAAAGAAUUUCGGGGAAGGAUCGGCCCGCGUUGGAUUAGGUAGUUGGUGGGGUAAUGGCCUACCAAGCCGACGAUCCAUAGCUGGUUUGAGAGGAUGAUCAGCCACACUGGGACUGAGACACGGCCCAGACUCCUACGGGAGGCAGCAUGGAAUAUUGGACAAUGGGGGAACCCUGAUCCAGCCAUGCCGCGUGAGUGAUGAGGCCUUAGGGUGUAAA
rnacentral:rRNA from 1 species